UCGGAGCUCCAUGAGAGCCUCUCCAAUGGAGAUCUUGUAAACACCUCAUAACAUAGUGAAAUCCGUGGAUGUAGGUCACAAUUGACCGAACCAUGUAAAAUGAUUUGUCUCCUUUUAUAUUUCUGCACUUUAUCUUCUUUUAUGUGUGUUAAUGUAUGUUUUGAUGGUUAAGAUCAUCAUGGGUGUAAACAUCAGAAAAGAUGCAACUACAUUAUGGUGCUAGAAACAGGGACUAGAGUGAUGGAUUUAUCCAACCUAGCCCCUUAGAAACAGGGACUAGAAUGAUGGAUUUAUCCAACCUAGCCCCUUAGAACAUCAUUUGUUCACUACCAACAAGUUAUGUAACAGAUCCAGCAGAUACAAGAGCUUCAGACAACAAGGUGUCUCGUCCGACUCCAAACGAAGCCUAAAGAAAUACAAAGAGAGAAAAGAGGCGCUGCGGCGGAAAAUAUGAAGAACAACUUCAACACCGCUGAAAUCAGCAAGCUUUCAUCAACAAUCCACCGGGAAACAAAUUUUUCUCUUCACAUCUCUUUAUCUUCUUCUUAGUUUUUCAGAUCUACAAGAUUUACACACAAAAAUUCAGAAAAAUCUAUUACAAAAACCAGGGCUUGUUCUUCAAUACAAGUCUGAUUUUGCUUCAAAAUCUUGAUUAAAAUUGAUCUUCGAUUUCAAAUUUACAAUCUGUAGAUCUUAUUCUUCAAACCCAUUGGAGAUUUUUUCAGAAAACCACUGAGAAUCAACAUAUUAGCCUGAUUCAGGGCUUCUUUUCUUUAAUGUGUUCGUGGCUUCGUGCUGUCUUUCAUAGCAGUCUCGUGAAUAACACCGAUCCAGUUGGACGGACCAUCUUGUACAGCUCGAUCUAGAAAACCAAUCUCGGGCAGACAAUUCAGGCUCAACGAUGUCGGACUAGAAGCGAUAUCAACAGCAAUUAACCAACACGAUGGGAGCCGGCUAGAGCUCGUAGUCAAUCCAUAUCGACAGGUGAUAACCAGAUGGAGGAGAAAGACUCGUUCAGUUGCUGAAAAGAAAAUAUCCAGCAGAAAGCUGAUGGACGAACCCACAUGGGAGCAGUUCACAAUUAGAGGCUCCCAUCAACAGCUUAGCCUGAUUUAGGAAAAACUACUCAGCAAAGAGAGCUUUAGCUACAUCGUGCUGACCAGUUGAAGCAGCCAUCAAUUCUCAUCGCCCUGACACACAAAAGCUACAUCGGCGAAGCCAAAUUGGAGCAGUAACACGAUUACAGGCUGCCAUUAACAUCAUAGCCUGAUUUUGGGCUCUUUUUUCUUCUCUUCUCGUGUUGUCUUUCAUAGCAAUUGCCGAACGAGUCUAUCAUAUUGUGAUUACUCACUGAACUGACUUGUUGUUACAGCAAAAUGAUGAUCGGGAGGAAAUCUCUUCACCAGCAGUUCACAAGUACCCAUCUCGAGACCAACUCGUGAAGAACUGCUUAUCUAACCAGACAGACAAUGACACAGCUCCACCUACAUCGGAUAAGAGACCAACAACGCGCAUCGGAUAAGACUUCCUGAACCCAUAUCGUGCAGAGCCAGAGCUCGUGACAGCUAUAUCGGAUGGACUCAUCAAUUCACCUCUGAGCAUCGAUCUCGGACAAGCAAUCUCGUGUUGUCAAAGCAACCAGCACGAUGGGGCCAACCAGAAAAAACGAUGGUGGACGCAAUCACAUCGGAAUCACCAGAUCGUGACCACCUCGAGGCCAUCUCGUGACGAAUCGGAACUCGGACUGACCAGGCCAUCGGAGCACCAUCUCGUACUGGCAGUACCCCCAGUUCGGAACACCAACCGCGGACAAACAAAGCUCAGUCUAUAUCGGACCAGAGAAACAUCGGAGCAAGAGUCAGCCAACACGAGCUCAAACUCAUCAGCUUAUUUCCGAGCACUAAUCUCGGACAGAUAAUUAAUGGGACAGGCAGAGCAUGAACUCGGAUGCCUCAACAUCUCAACCUGACUUGGGCUUAUUUUUUCUAUAUUUCUUAGUACUUUCUUAACGUGAAGUGCCGAACGAGUCAAUUCCAUUAAAGGCUUACUAUAUUGAUUGACUUGAUGUCACAGAAAGAUGAUGACGGACGAAGUCACAUCGGAGCAGCAAUCUCUAACAGAUCCUCACGAUUGGAUCGGACAGCUGAAUUGGAUCAACCAUCUCGUACUCGCCAAGCAACCAGCACGAUGAGAGCCAACCAGAGCUCGGACUAACCAAGUCAUCGGUCUAGGAGCAUGAACUCGGAUCGUGUCAAUAAUAUCGGACUCAUCAGUCCAUCUCCGAGCAGCAACUCGGAUACCAUACCUUUCCUACCUCAUCUCUUGAUUUCUUUUGGAUUACUGCAUAACAGCUAAAUGCUUUGUACUUAAAUAUAUGCUUAUAUAGUUUGAAUCAAAGAAUUUUGAUACAUUUCAUGACCAACAGGUACUUGCUAAUA